rnacentral:rRNA from 1 species
GGACCCGCACAAGCAGCGGAGCAUGUGGUUUAAUUCGAAGCAACGCGAAGAACCUUACCAGGACUUGACAUCCUACUGACAGGACCUUAACCGGUUCCUUCUUCGGACAGUAGAGACAGGUGGUGCAUGGUUGUCGUCAGCUCGUGUCGUGAGAUGUUGGGUUAAGUCCCGCAACGAGCGCAACCCUUGUCAUUAGUUGCCAUCAUUAAGUUGGGCACUCUAGUGAGACUGCCGGGGAUAACUCGGAGGAAGGUGGGGAUGACGUCAAAUCAUCAUGCCCCGUAUGUUCUGGGCUACACACGUGCUACAAUGGUCGGUACAAUAAGACGCAAUACCGUGAGGUGGAGCAAAUCUCAAAAACCGAUCCCAGUUCGGAUUGUAGGCUGCAACUCGCCUACAUGAAGUUGGAGUUGCUAGUAAUCGUGGAUCAGAAUGCCACGGUGAAUGCGUUCCCGGGUCUU